rnacentral:rRNA from 1 species
ACAGGGAGCUAGCUCUCUGCAACUUUCACAUGGUGACCCACUGAAGACAAGCAGAGCUGCACCUGGUCAGUACCUAGAUGGGAGACCACAUGGGAAAGCUAGUUUGCAGCCAGAA